GACGAACGCUGGCGGCGUGCUUAACACAUGCAAGUCGAACGGAAAGGCCCUGCUUUUGUGGGGUGCUCGAGUGGCGAACGGGUGAGUAACACGUGAGUAACCUGCCCUUUACUUUGGGAUAACUUCAAGCAACUGGUGCUAAUACCGGCUAGGAGCUCCUGCUGCAUGGUGGGGGUUGGAAAGUUUCGGCGGUUGGGGAUGGACUCGCGGCUUAUCAGCUUGUUGGUGGGGUCGUGGCUUACCAAGGCUUUGACGGGUAGCCGGCCUGAGAGGGUGACCGGCCACAUUGGGACUGAGAUACGGCCCAGACUCCUACGGGAGGCAGCAGUGGGGAAGAUUGCACAAUGGGCGGAAGCCUGAUGCAGCAACGCCGCGUGCGGGAUGACGGCCUUCGGGUUGUAAACCGCUUUCGCCUGUGACGAAGCGUGAGUGACGGUAAUGGGUAAAGAAGCACCGGCUAACUACGUG
rnacentral:rRNA from 1 species